GCGGCCGCGUGGAGCCGCUCGGAGGCGGCGGGCCCGCAUCGCUGAGCGAGGCGAAGUGAAAAAAGCCGCUUCUCGAGGACAUGCUGCACGGCUCAGGCGGUUGAAGGCACCCGGCCAAAUCCCUCCUAGCACACCAACUGUCUGCAGUGUGCUCCCCCAGAGCAUUUUCGUUCUGCAAACACAAUGAGGGGCCCCGAGGCACGGGAUGAACAUCAAAGGAGAAUUACAGCGGUGGUGCACUCCUAACAAAUUGCCCUUUCUGCUCUCCCACACACCUUCUGGAGGGAGGGAGAAGGGGAGGUGCGAAGCUGAUGCGUUUUCCCAAUAGCAUGAAAUGGGAACAUCUGUUUGGUGACUGAGAUUAGCGUGAGAGCCACGUUUCAUUAAUUUUCCUCCACCAUUGCCUGUAACAGGGAGCCAGAGAUGGGAACUGCAGCCCAAACGACAGCAUUAUGAAGGUCAGGAUGACAAAAAAGCAAGGCGGCAGUACUCAGUUUCCAGCCUGAAAUACGCUGACCUGCUCAAAUGAAUACAUGCCUUCAUAAAAAACGCUCAGUCCUUGGGCAGGCAUGAAGUGAAGCUCUGACAUUCAGAGAGGUGAGGUCCUGAGCAGACGUCUGUGCUUCAGCCCAAAGAGAACCCGCCCCCAGCACUCCAGCGGGGCUCUGGGCUGUAUUUCUUCCCUGUGCUAAUUUUACUAAAGACACAACUCAUAUUCCUGUUGAUUGAACAGUUUUGUGUUGACAGCAUUGAAGAUUUGUGAUGAAACUUAUCAUCGGCGCCGAGUGCGGGCCAUUAGUACCAGUCACAGCAGCUAGCUGCUGCUGAUAUAUUUUAUGGCACGCUUCAAAGACAAACAUACACAUUUAUAUGUCACUUGUUGCAAUAUAAAUGCUAACUUGUACUUCUUUCAAAACUUUUAAUGAAUUGUAUACAUUUCGUGAGAUUUAUGGCGUGAACCGAACUGCUCAAAACAUUACUUUAAACAUAUUUGUCACUUUGGCAACAGAACAAAAAAAAUCUGGGAGAUAUUGCAUUUAGAAAUAAAUCAUAAAUAUAUGCAUCCUAAAGGAGUUUAUUUUGGUCAUUAAUAGUUGAUGCCCCCCCCCCCAGCUCAGGAUUUAAAGUUAAAUUAUGCAAAAUCAAAAACAAACCUUAUAAUACUUAAUCAAACAUGCAUAAAACUGUC
rnacentral:lncRNA from 1 species